GUCAGAGAGAGCCUUCUCUUGCCGGAAAUUGCCGGCUGUUCGUGCGGUUCGAGGACAAUGCUCAA
rnacentral:sRNA from 1 species